rnacentral:misc_RNA from 1 species
UCCCGGUUAACCCGGGCAGUCUCAUUAGAGUUCCCACCUUAAAUGUUGGCAACUAAUGAUAAGGGUUGCGCUCGUUGCGGGACUUAACCCAACACCUCACGGCACGAGCUGACGACAGCCAUGCAGCACCUGUUCAGAGGCCCCGAAGGGAGACGCUGUUUCUAGCGUUGUCCUCUGUAUGUCAAUUCUGGGUAAGGUUCUUCGCGUUGCAUCGAAUUAAACCACAUGCUCCACUGCUUGUGCGGGUCCCCGUCAAUUCUUUUGGGUUUCAGCCUUGCGACUGUACUCCCCAGGCGGUAUACUUAACGCGUUAGCUACGGCACAUUUGGGGUUGAUUCCAAAUACACCAAGUAUACAUAGUUUACGGCUAGGACUAC